rnacentral:lncRNA from 1 species
GUUGCAAUUUUUAAGUUUGAACUUCUGUAAAUUGUUGCAAUUAAGUCCUACAACUCAAUCUAUUUGGUUAAACAUUGAUGAAUGGUUGAUGUACAAGUGAUGUAGCAGUUUAGUUAUUAUCACAUCAUUAAUCAUAACACUGCUAUAUUAUUUUCUCCUUAGCGAUAUAUCAAUAUUUAGCCAACUAAAUUGGGUUAUAGAACUUAAUUAUAAUAAUUUAAAAAAUUUGAGCAAGAAAUUAUAACAAAUUAAAGUUUAAAGAUCAAAAUAUCAUGUGUCUUCUAAUUUGAGGACCAAAAGUGUUAUUUACUCUAUAGCAAUUUAUUUAGCUAGUUAAGUAGGAGUGUAGGACUUUUUUUUCCGCAUCUUUGAUAGGAUUUUUUUUUUUGACUCCUUCGAAGGAAAGCCCGUAGGCUAUCUAAGAUGGGACAUCACUUGUAGAUGGCCAUUAGUCUUCAAUAUCUUUGUACAGUUGUGAAAUCUUUAGUUAAUGGUCCAGCCUUUUUUUUCGCAGCAUUUGAAGUCUUUCCUUCCAGUCUUACCUCCCAGUUUUUGCCUCUUUGGCUCGGCUUCCAGUUUUGCAUUUAAUUAUAGUCAUCUAUAGAGGGUCCAUCUAUGGUGCUCAUAAGAGGGCCUGAAUAGUGCGUAUUUUAGACUUUUUACCAUUUAGAUCAGAAUAUUAUUCCAUCUACCCUCACUGCAUUCUAAAGCAUUGUAGACUAAAAAUGUUGUGAGAACACACUAUUCAUGUCGUCACAAAAGUAUAGCAGCAUUGUCAUAUAUAUAUAUAUAUAUAGAGAGAGAGAGAGAGAGAGAGAGAGAGAGAGAGAGAGAGAGUGCCUCGGCUAUUAUACUUUUAUGCAUACAAUCACUUUUGUACUCUUAAGUCAUUUUCAAUGGUAGAUUUUUCGAAUCUAUGAUCCACAUUGUUAAACAUAAUUUGAAAACACGUAAACAUUCUAAAAAUUGAAUUUCAUAAUUGUUGGACGUCAGAUUCCUUAUGAUCAAAAGUCCUCAAAAUUGAUAAUUUUAACGGUCGAUAUGGGACGUUUUCUAGUUUAAUUGUGUGGAAAAAUUGGAAUUGGUUGAAUUUUUAAUUAAAAAUUAUAGUCAUUAUUUAAUCAAGAUCAAUAACUUCGAUCUUGAAUUGAAGAACU